rnacentral:lncRNA from 1 species
ACCACAGUGAACCCUGCAAAACAGAGGAGCCCCUGGGUGGGAGGGGAUAUAACUGGAACUCUGGGAAUGUAACGGGCAUGGUGUGCUUGUCUGAUGGACAGGGCAGCUUAGGGGAAUAAGUCUCUGCAGCGUUGUAGUGAAGAGAGAAUACGGGACAACUGCAGGACCACAGCUCAGCCAAGAGCUCCCUUGCAGCUGAGUUGGCCAUAUGACUGACAGCAAGCCCUGGAAUGCAGCCAGAAGUGAUAGAAGCCUCUUUCACACCAUGCUCCUAAAAUAUUCCAAGAAAUUUUCCAAACCUACUCUUUUUAGUCUGUGCAUCUGGAAGUGAAAGUUUUAGAAAGGGUAAAGUCACUUAAUGGAAAGGGCCCAGAUCUAGCCCCUCGGAGCCAAGCUGUCCAACUAGAAAUUCUGCAUUAGUAUUUGCGACCCCAGUAAAAAAAAAAAAGUCCCACAAAGAUGUAGGAUCUCACUUUGCCUGCGUUAAUUCCCUGUCCUUUGCCCAGUUUCUCCUCUCUUGGAAGGCAGAGGCAGCUUCUGAUUUUGAUCACUUCAUGUCCAGUGAGCUCAAGUGUUGCAAGUAUCUGCUUAAAAUGCCAUGUGAUGCUAAUCAUCUCUGCACGAGCAGUUCAUCUCAUCUCUCCAGUAAAUUGCUUAUCACAGUAAAAGUAGGACCUCCUGCUUCAGACUCUAAGCUUCCGGAGAACAGGAACUGCAUCUUUUCUAUUUCACAUACCCAACUCCUCACACAAUGCAUGAUGCAAGUGGGAAUCUACAUAAAAUAUCUGAUGGAUAAAUGGAGUAGCACUGAUGCAUAUGAGACCCAGUGUUAACCAGAGGAAGCAAUCAACUCCAAGAUCAACUGCCAAGAUAAAAACCAGGACCAAGGAAAGCUUCUGAGAUAAAAUGAUUUUUAAGAUUAACGUAGUGGAUAUUUCCAAUUGUUUUUUUUAUACCCUUCAUCUGACCUCUCCUUCCUAAAUGUGAGAGUUAGCCAUCAGUUGAGUAUUGUGAGAGGUUGUACCCUGCCACUAAUUACAGAAACAAAAAAGGCCAGCUACCUGCUUUCCCGGACUCUAGGAGGUAAAGUUAAAAGAACAUGAACUAACCUCUGUCAAUAAGAUACAACCACCAGGGAAUUGCAUCUGGAGUUAAUGAUCGAAUCCAUUCUAGGAAUGGCAAGAGCAUCUAGCGUCCAAUGGCAGAGGGCCAGCCAUGGUGUGCUGUCUUGGAGGCAUGACGUGGUGGUGGUACCAGGGCCAGAAUUUAUUCUCUAGAAGCAUCUCUCAAGAUGAAUGGCUGUACAGAAACAUGUUUAACCUCUCUUCAUUGUCUCCAUGACAACAUACUCGACUGUUUCUUCCUUGUCUCCUUUGAGCGCAUACCAGUGUGUUGUCCUCCUCUCUCUCUGACCAUUUAUCUGUCACUCCUGAAGGCUCUUUCUGAUCUCCCUGGCCUUUAAGUGUUAGAUCUUCAAGGUUCAUCAUUAGGCUCUCUUCUUUCCUCAUUCUAUAAUCAUCCACUGUCAAUCUCUUCCACCCCUCUCUGCUUUAGUUCCAGCCAUCAUCAUCUCUAGGCAAGACUAUCCCAGGAAUAUCCUUCCUGUCACCCCACAUUACCAACUUCCACCCAACCUCUAAAAUCCAGUGGCUACAUUGAAACCAGAAUAACCUUGCCUAAUGGCAAUCAGAUCAUCCUCUGUGUAAACCCCUCAUUGGAUUCCCAGUACCUUGGGAUAAAUACCAAAAUUCUUACCACUUGUGAUGGUUAAUAUUGAGUGUCAAGUAGAUUGGAUUGAAGGAUGCAAAGUAUUGUUCCUGGUUGUGUCUGUGAGGAUGUUACCAAAGGAGAUUAACAUUUGAGUCAGUGGAAGACAAAGAGGCAGACUCACCCUCAAUCUGGGUGGGCACCAUCUAAUCAGCUGCCAGCGCAGCUAGGAUAAAAGCAGGCAGAUGAACGUGGAAGGACCAUGACUGGCUGAGUCUUCCAGCCUGCAUCUUUCUCUCAUGCUGGAUGCUUCCUGCCCUUGAACAUCAGACUCCAAAUUCUUCAGCUUUUUGGACUCUUGGACCUAGAACAGUAGUUUGCCAAGGGCUCUUGGGCCUUCAGCCACAGACUGAAGACUGCACUGUUGACUUCCCUACUUUUGAGGUUCUGGGACUUGGACUGGCUUUCUUGCUUCUCAGCUUGCAGACGACCUAUUGUGGGACUUCACCUUGUGAUUGUGUGAGUCAACAAUAACUCCUUAAUAAACUCCCUUUCAUACAUACAUCUAUUCUAUUACUCUGUACCUCUAGAAAACCCUGACUAAUAGACCAUGGUGUAUAAAAUUCUACAUAGUCUUGCUUCUGCCUAAUUCUCCAAACUCAUAAUAUGAUGUUUGUAUAUUUGAUGAACCAACCUAGCUCCUCUACCCUGACCCUCCUUUCAUCCAGC